rnacentral:rRNA from 1 species
GACAGAGGGUGCAAACGUUGUUCGGAAUUACUGGGCGUAAAGCGCGUGUAGGCGGCUUGGCAAGUCGGGUGUGAAAGCCCUGGACUCAACCUAGGAAGUGCACUCGAAACUGCCUCGCUUGAAUGCCGGAGAGGAAAGCGGAAUUCUCGGUGUAGAGGUGGAAUUCGUAGAUAUCGAGAGGAACACCUGCGGCGAAGGCGGGUUGCUGGGCUGACACUGACGCUGAUGCGCGAAAGCCAGGGGAGCGAACGGG